rnacentral:misc_RNA from 1 species
CACAAUGAACAAGAAGAUUACAUUAGAGACAGGCACAGUCUGUCAGUUUCUGCAUGGAAAAACAAUUCUCUUGCAAAGUGUAGAAGCUAAAACUACAAGGGAUUAUGGGACUUCUUCAUAGCGUCAACUCCAGUUAAAAAAAAGAAAAGUGAAGAGAAGUAAAAACCAUUGAUGAAGCAUAUCAAUGACAAUGCCUUCAUCACAAUUUCAUAUAUGAUGCUGUGAAUCCCCAUCCUGAAGUUCAGAGAAGCAGUAGCAGUACAUCCUAUCAAUUGUUCAACAUCUAUGAACGAUUGCUUUGAGAGUUAAGAAAGAACAUUGCAAGGUAUCAGUCAGCUACAAGAGAAGUCAGAUUCUUCUGAUCAUAGUUUGUAG